rfam:Ciona savignyi cont_5281, whole genome shotgun sequence.
CAAACGGCUCUUUUUAGAGCCAGCCAUUUUUCUUAGAUACACAUUA